AUUGAACGCUGGCGGCGUGCCUAACACAUGCAAGUCGAGCGGCAGCGCGGGAGCAAUCCUGGCGGCGAGCGGCGGACGGGUGAGUAACGCUUGGGAAUCUGCCUGUUAGUGGGGGACAACCCGGGAACGUCGGGCUAAUACCGCAUACGCACUACGGUGGAAAGCCGGGGACCGCAAGGCCUGGCGCUAACAGAUGAGCCCAAGUCGGAUUAGCUAGUUGGUAGGGUAACGGCCUACCAAGGCGACGAUCCGUAACUGGUCUGAGAGGACGACCAGUCACACCGGAACUGAGACAC
rnacentral:rRNA from 1 species